rnacentral:rRNA from 1 species
AUUGAACGCUGGCGGCAGGCCUAACACAUGCAAGUCGAGCGAGCGGCGGACGGGUGAGUACUGUCUGGGAAACUGCCUGAUGGAGGGGGAUAACUACAGGAAACGGUAGCUAAUACAGCAUACAAUCUGAUGUGCCCAGAUGGGAUUAGCUAGUAGGUGGGGUAACGGCUCACCUAGGCGACGAUCCCUAGCUGGUCUGAGAGGAUGACCAGCCACACUGGAACUGAGACACGGGCCAGACUCCUACGGGAGGCAGCAGUGGGGAAUAUUGGACAAUGGGCGCAAGCCUGAUCAAGCCAUGCCGCGUGUGUGAAGAAGGCCUUCGGGUUGUAAAGCACUUUCAUCGGGGAGGCGUUACCCGCAGAAGAAGCACCGGCUAACUCCGUGCCAGCAGCCGCGGUAAUAC